UACGUAUGUCGCGAGCGUUAUCCGGAAUUAUUGGGCAUAAAGGGCAUCUAGGCGGCCUAACAAGUCAGGGGUGAAAACCUGCGGCUCAACCGCAGGCUUGCCUUUGAAACUGUAAGGCUGGAGUAUCGGAGAGGUGGACGGAACUGCACGAGUAGAGGUGAAAUGCGUAGAUAUGUGGAGGAAUGCCGAUGAUGAAGAUAGUUCACUGGACGGUAACUGACGCUGAAGUGCGAAAGCGAGGGGAGCAAACAGG
rnacentral:rRNA from 1 species